AACCAUUCUCACCUGCGGCUAGACCUGCGGAGGGAUCAUUACCGAGUUUACAACUCCCAAACCCCUGUGAACAUACCUAUACGUUGCCUCGGCGGAUCAGCCCGCGCCCUGUAAAAAGGGACGGCCCGCCCGAGGACCCCUAAACUCUGUUUUUAGUGGAACUUCUGAGUAAAACAAACAAAUAAAUCAAAACUUUUAGCAAUGGAUCU
rnacentral:misc_RNA from 1 species